rnacentral:rRNA from 1 species
UACGGAGGGGACUAGCGUUGUUCGGAUUUACUGGGCGUAAAGGGCGCGUAGGCGGCUUGUCAAGUCACUUGUGAAAUCUCUGGGCUUAACCCAGAACGGCCAAGUGAAACUGACAUGCUAGAGUGCAGAAGGGGCAAUCGGAAUUCUUGGUGUAGCGGUGAAAUGCGUAGAUAUCAAGAGGAACACCUGAGGUGAAGACGGGUUGCUGGGCUGACACUGACGCUGAGGCGCGAAAGCCAGGGGAGCAAACGGG